GAGAACAGUCCUAGAGCAUCGUCCUGCAGGGAUGCUUGUACUAUGUCAUCAUAAAUAAGCAAUUUGGCAUAGCUAGGAAUGGCUGCUCCAUAAAGAACCAUUGUGUAGCUCAAGAGCACUGAUGGGAGGAAGAGUUUUCUCCAGGUAGUGCUACAUGAUGGAGUACAGCUUGGCUCUGCAAAGUCCUAGUGUUAAGCUAGUGGAUCUAAUGUCACAGGGUGAAACAAGUUCCUAUGACAACACUGAGACUUUGGAGUUCUAGCAAAACCCUUGUUUCCAUGUGACAACAGCAGAAAAAAAAAAGAUCAUCAGUAGUGAUUGUCGGCAUCUUGAACAUCUUCCAGUUGCACGUCUCAGCACACAGGAACCUACAGGUCUUUUACUUCGCUACUUUCAACACAGUCUUGAGUCAAGUCAAUCGUUGAGCAAAAUCAGUGGACACCAAAUGUUUCUUCCUGGGAGGUGCCACGUGCUUCUACCACACACUGGGUUCCAUUUUGCUUUCCAAGUGCCAUCUUGUUCAUAGGCUCAUCCUCUGUAUUUUUACCAUUUUUUAGAAGAGUAACAACUGGCUCUUAUGUGUGUGUUUGAUAUUCUUUCUCACUGUGGAUUGUCAGCCACCAGAUAUGGAUAAAGUGCAAUUUUAACAACCUAUUAAUUCCCUAGUGCAUGUUACAAAGAAACAUCUAACAACCUCCUCAGCUCAUUCUGUCCGACAUCCACAGAAAAUAAGGUGUAUGCUGCCAGAUAGAGCAACCCCCUUUUCAACUUCAGUAAGAAGAUAUGUUCUUGAAGGUCUUUUAUUUAGGAAGAGGAGUAAAAUGCUAAGAAGCGCCAAGAUUUUUCUUUUGUAUAUAAAUCCAUUCACUUUUUAUUUCUGGGGUCAUGCACCGCUGAGGUAUGUGGUAAGGAAAUAGCAUCUUGAACUUGCUUUAUAUUGAAAAAUGAAACAGAUCUUCAAUAUUCCAUUGAGAAGAGGGUGUGCAUCGUUUCUUGAGAAUAAGCCCUUUGUGUCUCUAUUAUUUUUACAAUGCACUUUAAUGACCUGAAAGCAUGUGUGUGCCUUCUUAAAUCAUCACAUACAAAACUACAUUCUGACUGUAAAAUAUAUUAAGAAUCUUAUAGAGGAAGUUAUGCCAUGUGUGUUAUUUUUUAUUCCCUGCUCUCAAAGAUAGGAUGAGUUUUGCCCAUAUUACAGGGACAAG
ensembl:lncRNA